GCACGUAGUUAGCCGGUGCUUAUUCUUACGGUACCGUCAUGGAACCCCCUUUAUUAGAAGGAGUCUUUUCGUUCCGUACAAAAGCAGUUUACAACCCGAAGGCCUUCAUCCUGCACGCGGCAUGGCUGGAUCAGGCUUUCGCCCAUUGUCCAAAAUUCCCCA
rnacentral:rRNA from 1 species